CAGCCACAUCACGUUGAAACACUGGUUCUUGUACGAACACCGAAGUUAAGCAGAGUCGAUUUUGGUCCAUAACUAGAUGGGUGACCUCUUGGGAAUACCAAGAGCUGUAA